CCUACGGGUGGCUGCAGUGGGGAAUAUUGGACAAUGGGGGAAACCCUGAUCCAGCAAUGCCGCGUGUGUGAAGAAGGCCUGCGGGUUGUAAAGCACUUUCGGUUGGGAAGAAAAGUUUGGCGCCAAUACCGCCGAACCUUGACGUUACUGACAGAAGAAGCACCGGCUAACUCUGUGCCAGCAGCCGCGGUAAUACAGCGGGUGCAAGCGGCAAUAAGAGUCACUGGGUGGACAUGGUGGUCAGGUGUGAAAUCCCCGGGCUUAACCUGGGAACUGCAUUCGAUACUACAUGGCUAGAGUAUGGUAGAGGGAAGUGGAAUUUCCGGUGUAGCGGUGAAAUGCGUAGAUAUCGGAAGGAACACCAAUGGCGAAGGCAGCUUCCUGGACUAAUACUGACACUGAGGCACGAAAGCGUGGGUAGCAAACAGGAUUAGAUACCCUUGUAGUC
rnacentral:rRNA from 1 species